GAUUAACGCUAGCGGCAGGCCUAACACAUGCAAGUCGAGGGGUAACAGGUGUAGCAAUACAUGCUGACGACCGGCGCACGGGUGAGUAACGCGUAUGCAACCUACCUUUAACAGGAGGAUAGCCCCGAGAAAUCGGGAUUAAUACUCCAUAAUAUUUAUGAAUCGCAUGGUUUAUAAAUAAAAGUUCCGACGGUUAAAGAUGGGCAUGCGUGACAUUAGCUAGUUGGUGAGGUAACGGCUCACCAAGGCUGCGAUGUCUAGGGGUUCUGAGAGGAUUAUCCCCCA
rnacentral:rRNA from 1 species